rnacentral:tRNA from 1 species
CGGGGUGUGGCGCAGCUUGGUUUAGCGCACCUGCUUUGGGAGCAGGGGGUCGGAGGUUCAAAUCCUCUCACCCCGACCA